AGGGGCAUGGGAGGGGCCGGUGGUGCGGCUUUAGAUGGAGCUGGUACUAAGACCCAGGACUUCUGGGGCUUGAAGACCCUGGGUCUGCGGGAAGCCCCUGCUGAGCGUCCCUCGCCUACCCCGUGGCCAGUGGGUGAGUAGGGCUAGAUCUCCGCCCAUCUAGGUCCCCUUCUGCUCCAGCUCCAGCGUCUGACAUCCCAAGGAAGGAACGCAGGGUGGGGGCAUUUGAGCCGGACCUGAGCCAUCCUCAUGGUUUUCAAAAAGUAGCCUUAUUGUGGUGUAAUUGACAGACGGUAAGCCACAUAUUUCAAUUUGGUACGUUUUAACACUCGGAUACUCCUGUGAAACCAUCACCACAAUCAGCAUAGUGAACACCCCGGGUUCCCUCUUGGUCAUCUCUCCCUGCCCUCCCUCAUCCCCAGGCAAGCACUGAUCUGCAUUCUGUCACUACUGAUUACUUUGCAUUUCCUAUGAUUUGCACAAAUGGAAUCAUAUAAUAUGUACUUUUUGUGUAGCUUCUUUCACUCAGCACAAUUAUUUUUGAGAUUUGCCUGCGUCAUUUGGUUUGUCAAUGCGUAUUUCUUUUACAGCUGCAUGGUACUCCAGUGUAUGAAUGUACCACAGUUUGUGUCCAUUCACCUGCUGGUGGGCAUUUGGGUUGUUUCUGGUGUUGGCUCUUACAGAUAAAGCUGAUCCGAACAUUGUGCACAAGUCUUUGGAUGAAUGCUUUUCU
rnacentral:lncRNA from 10 species